AGCAGCCGCGGUAAUUCCAGCUCCAAUAGCGUAUAUUAAAGUUGUUGCAGUUAAAAAGCUCGUAGUUGAAUUUCGGGAUCAAUACGUCGGUCGUGCUUCGGUACGUACUGGCGUCAUUGAUUUCUCCCUUCUGACGAACCAUGAUGUCAUUAACUUGGUGUCAUGGGAAAUCAGGACUGUUACUUUGAAAAAAUUAGAGUGUUUAAAGCAGGCUCACGCUUGAAUACAUUAGCAUGGAAUAAUGAAAUAGGACGUUCGAUCCUAUUUUGUUGGUUUUAGGAUCAACGUAAUGAUUAAUAGGGAUAGUUGGGGGCAUUAGUAUUCAAUUGUCAGAGGUGAAAUUCUUGGAUUUAUUGAAGACUAACUACUGCGAAAGCAUUUGCCAAGGAUGUUUUCAUUAAUCAAGAACGAAAGUUAGGGGAUCGAAGACGAUCAGAUACCGUCGUAGUCUUAACCAUAAACUAUGCCGACUAGGGAUCGGAUGAUGUUAAUUUUUUAAUGACUCA
rnacentral:rRNA from 1 species